UUCAGCAGCACAGCCCCAGCGAAGUUCCCCAGAAAUCUCUAAAGAUUCUCAUUUUUGAUAGGCAUUUACUUAGCCUAUCUCUAGAAGAAUCAUGGGGUUGAUUGAGAAGAAAAACUACCUCUCUCUCUCUCACUUGCUCUAGCUCUCCAUCUUGCUCUCAUUUUUUCUCUCUCUUUCUUUAACGAAGCAGUUGCCCUCUAAACUUGAUCCCAUGUGGUCCCAUUUAAGAAAAGAAGGGGGAAAAAUUAAAAUCAGUUCUCACUAAUUAGAGGAAAAUAGUAUGUAACUAAUUGAAAGGUCUUUUCAUACUUAUGGCUGACAUUUCCACCAAGGGCUAAUUGACCGUUGGGUCUAAAGGGUUAUGUGCUUUUUUUAAGCGACAUGUGCUCCUGGCCAAGUACUCGCUGAGACACGCUGUGAGUAGUUUUAGAUCACUGGCAGCUCUUGCUAUUUUAGUCCAUGUCACUGCCUGAAGUUGUAAUUAAUUUGGAUGACCCUAAAAAUCAUAAUUAUGACAGUUCUGAUAUUCGGUAAGAACAACUUACAUUCGGUCUUGCCAAGAAAGUCAUGGAGCUUUUAGCAGAAGGAAAAAACAAUCUUUACAACGUGUACAAUGAACAUCUCACAUAGAAGCAGACCGCAGGAGCCUUGACAGGGCUUAACUUAUCCUUAGGCAGGUGGUAGCCCUGGGACUGCUCCGGGGGAACGCUGGCUGCCCGUCUACAAGAUGGGAGCGGGAACCUUGGAGAACCGAAUCACGCACCUGUGACCCUGAACCACACAGGUGCACGCUCUUCCAAGCGGUCCGGACUCAGUGGUGCGGUGAGCUCACCUCGCUGAUGGCACACCUCCCCGAGGAGUCCAGAGGGAGUGGGCGCUGGGGGGGUCAGGGACCAAGUCUCCUACUGGGUGCUGGACACCUGCGAACUGAUCCGGGCCAGGGCGGCCCUGAUUCACUUCCUCGAGGAGGAGAGGAAAGUUACUGCCUGGCAGUGCUCCAGCCCGCCUGGGAGAGCCACUCUCCCCAUAUAAACAUUUCAAGGCGCGAGAGCACCAGUAGCCGUUCUUUAUACCUCGCAGGAUGGCGUGAGGCUGUUGGACAUGAUCCUUAGGAGUGCUUGCAACUCCUCCUCGGAGAGAAGUAGCCAUAAUAUAAUAAGGGUUUUUUUUUUUUUCGUUUUUUGCUUCAUUUGAGGUGGGUUUUUUUCUUUUCUGGAUCCUCUGGGAGAAAUUGUUUACUUGCUGCUUGUUCCAUGAAUUGUUUUUUUUCCUGGUAAUAUGAGUAGCUUUGUGCUCCUAGGAAGUUAAAAAAAAGAAGAAAAAGCGUUGCACCAGUAUAAUAUGUACAUAAUAGUCUCCAAAUGAAGGAAAUUUUGCAUUUGUUCUAUGGAUUCAUAUAAACCAGAUUUUAGAAUCUGAUGUUUUUUCUCCCAAGUGGAUUUCCAUGUACCUUUAACUUAAGUUUUAAAAAUCUGCAUAUACCUGAAAGUGCAUAUUUUUAUUUAGAUGGAUGAAUCACUUUUUGUUUCUCCUUUAGAAAACUGAUAAAAAAUCCUCAAUUAAAAUUUGAUAUAUUUUAGUGGUAAAAGUAUUAUUCUAAAACAUGACUUGCGACUUAAAAUACUCCCCAGAAUAUAAGCAGCCUAUAGCUACAGGGAAAAAAAGCUAAAAUGCUGUAGAUUUAGUUUUUUAGUUAUUUCAAUUCUUACUUCUCAAAUCCUGUUGCUUUUAUUUUUGUAAAUAUGACUCAAUUUAGAUUUGUAACAGGAGUUAGUAUGGGUUGCCUAGAUAAUAAUUAGAUAUUAGUUAUGGGCUGUUUUUUUGUGUGUGUGGUAUGUCCCAUAAAUGAAUGUCUGGAAUAUUCUUAAGUAAAAAUUUUGAAAAACAUGCUAUCAUUAAAAAUUUAUCAAUUAAAUUUUUCAAUAACUUCGUUCUUUUAAGAGAACAAUCCGUGCUCCUAAAUUCACUUUUGCUUUCUCUCCGUGUUCAGUUUUUAUUUCCUUCACAUCGCCUUUCUCUGCGUGCUUUCUCUCAAGCAUACCUACAACAAAGCCACCUGUUGUCCGAGGCCUCGUUCCUACAUGAAUCACGCCCUGUCAAAAUUUCGAGGUUAUAAAUGUUCAGCUAAUUGAGCAGUCUGACUAGCUGAAUGCUUGUAAGUGCUUUAUAAUAUCUUUCAACACUUCAAAACUCCGACCCACUUAAAAACUCCAGAAUCCCUGAGCAAACGGGACAAGUCAUUCACAUGGAUUCUUGCUGAUAAAACUGAGAGCAUGUUUAUGAAUUUCUCCAAAUUUGCAAUAAGACAUUAUUGUAUUUGAGAAAGGAACUCUAACCAUGAAAGCAGAGAGCUGAGCAAGAUGUAGAAAGCCUGGGAAAGAUGUCGAGACAUCAUGUUGUUUCUAUUUGUCUCAGUGCUCAAGUGUCCUUCAAGGGAACACAGGAACUCUACUCCUGUCUUUGGCCACGUAGACCAUUUGCACCAACACCCUACCUUAGAAAAUGGAUGACAUUUACUAAGCAAGUUACACAUUUAUGUUAUUUUCCAUCUGAGAAAAAUCUGUUUCUAAGUCAAGAUUCUGCUGAGUUGGCAUCAAAUAUCAAAACCCCAAUGGAAAAAAGAUUGCAGAGAACCAGAAGAAGUGAGGGCGGAAUGGAAUAAACAUCCUCGCCUUCGCUGUUGUGUCUCCCGGCCAUGGAUGCCACUGUGGUAAUGUUACCCUACACGUGUGGUCACAGUAACCAAAAGCACAGCUUCACUGAAAGGCCCCUGGAAUGAGCCCACAGCAUUUGCAGCAGCCUGAGGAAUUUUCCCAUCAAUGCUCCUCCUGGAAGAAUGUGAGCAGCAAUGCAGCGAAUAACACAAAUGCCGAUUUAUUAAUGCCGUCAGCUGUAUUUUCCUUUUUGUUUUUCAAUUUCUUACUCUGUCACGGAACAGCUAUAAGUUCCUAGGUUUGGCAACCACCUCUUUAUUCAAUUUGUACAGCGUUAGCCCAUCAGUCGACUUGCAAAGGUACUGCAAGAAUGCUGGUUAGCGACGAUUUCAGUUCAGUCUGAUUCAGUUUAACCUCAGACUCUAAACCUACAAACCUACGUAUUUUUACAGGAUUUCAUAAAGGCUAUAGCAAAUAAUUGUCUUUUGUUUUGUUUUUCGUCUGUUUUCCUUUCCUCAACGGUAUGAGCCAACCGACACCCGACGUCCGUAGUGAGCCAGCUCCCAGUUGUUUGACCGUCCACCUCCAGAGACGGAGGAUUUGAGUCGUACUGUGCUCCCCAUUGAACAGAGUGAGCUUGGCUAAGUGACUCGACCUCUCUAAGCCUUUGUUUCUCAUCUGUAAAAGGGGCUAAAAGUAAUAUCCACCUUUUAGAGUUGUCUGGAUUAAAGGAGCGUAUCCGAGUAAUACUUUAGGUACACACACAGUAAAGUUGGCUAAUAUUGCUACAUACUUUACAAUGGAAAGAUUACUUCAUAAAGACGCAUCUUUAACAGUUAACGUUUAUCUGUAGUGUUUUUAACUUCACUAGUAUUUUGGUAAUGUUUCUUUCUUACCACCUGCCCUAUAGCCAUUGAGCUUUCUAGAAUCAGAAAUUAGGAAAAGUGACUUUUUAUCUCCAUGUUAGAUUUAGAGAAAUCAAUCCUAAUUUAUAAGUGAACAGAAUUAACAAGAAAACUUUGCCUCAUACAAGUUCCCAAGUGGUAUAAACAUAAAUAAAAUGCUUUAAGUACUCAGAUAAAAGAAUCAGAAGUAAGAUUUUAUUAAAAAUACCCAAGAUGGAAACAUAAGCCUGCAACAAACUCUCAAUAGAGCGGGAAGUUGACUAAAUUCUCCUGUCUCCCCUUUUCGUUCUUUUCCUUCUCCUGGGGUCUGAGACUCCCCUCCUGAGCCCUUCUGGUUCCUAUUGCUCUCCACCGUGAAAAUUCUUCCAGAACACAGCUUCCCCAGCCAUGUAAACACUCUGUCUCCCAACCCAUAUCAAAACAUCUUUAUUGUAUGAUACACUCUUAAAGUGUGGCCCUCUUUGCUCUCAUGUUGGCAAAAGAAAAGUCCCACUAAAAUAGCUUAAAAAUGUUAUGGGACCACCUAACCAAAGAUAUGUCCAUGUGAACAGGCAAAUCUUGGUUUGACUCAAAGGAAUCAAUUCUUAAUGGUGGAAUGUUGGGAAUCUCUUACAGAGCUGGGGAUGAGAUACUUUGGGA